UCUCUUUCUCUCUCUCACGUGAUCUCUCCUUCUUUUUUUCGGCCCAGACAAUAGCAACACAAACACGGAACCUUCCUUUCUUCUCUAAUCUUCCGUCACCAUCAUCAUCUCUUCCUGCCAUCUCUAUCCUCAGCUCCAUCGUUGCCUUCACGCCAUCACCAUGCUCUCAAUCUCCAUCUUCCUCACGCAACCAUCACUCUAACCAUCACUGUUCCAUCAUAUUGCUCUCUUUCUCGCUCUCUCUGCUGAACACACAAAAAAUAGGGACAGCAGAUUCUCUCCCUCUCUAUCUCUCGGCAAAGACAGCAGCAACCCACCCAGGACCAGCUCUUUUCUUCAUUGUUCACACCAUCACCUCCACCUUUUUUCCUUCGUUCAGUCCUUCACACCAUUCCUUUUCAUCACCCUUCCUUUCUAAUCCUCACCAACAUCUUCAUACCAUAUCCAUCCCUUCCUUCUCCUCUGCAACAGCCUGUCCAUCACCGUUACCAUCACCUCAGCCAUCCUCUUUUCUGAUCAUCUUCCUCACCAUUGUCACAACCAUCAGCUCACCCACAAACAGUAGCAUCUCUCUUAGGCUUAUUCUCCUUUCCUCUGUUCCCUCAACACAGACAGAUCAGCAACCUCAUCACCAUUCACUGUUCCUUCUUCCUCUGUUACCUUUCUUUGUCGGCAACCAUCUCCAUCAUCUUCUUCCAUCCUUCUCCUUCCCGCCCCUAACCAUCAUCACAACUCUCCCUUCCCUUCAUUCUCCUCUGCCCUACCACCACUUCAACCUCCAGCCAUCAACACCAUCACCAUCAUUCUCCUAUUUUCCCUAAUCACUAGCAGCCAUCUUCUCGACUAACCUAUCUCUCUCUAUCUCUCUUUCUCGAUCUUUCCUCUCUUUCUUCUUCCUACCACAACCUCCAUCAUCAUCAUCACUUCACCUCCCGUUCAUCACCUUUCCUUUUAUAGCUGCAGGGUAGCCGUUUCCCCCUUUGUAUGUUAGAAAUUCGGACCUACACGAAUAGGAUUCGCCCAUGUAGGACCCAACCCAAUUCUGAUAUUUACAUGAAUAUCUGAAAUCUAUCCAAAUCUUAGCUGGCAUUCAAAUCGAUCUUCUGUGGGACCUAUUGACUAGGUCUGUAAAAACUUUAUAUAGAAGGGAUACCACAUAUAGAAGGAGAAGAUUGUGAGAGACGGUGAGUAGCUCUUGACAGAGUGUGACGAUACAUAAGCUUCCUGCGCCAUGAGCUGUAUCGGUCUUUGCUCGAUUUUGUAGCAAAGGUCUAUUGCCGGGUUAUUUUCUAUUUGCUUCUCUUUUGUCUAAUAGGUAAUGGGUAAUUUGAUUUGCGGUAAUUCAUGUAUGUUGUUCUGUGAAUCAUGCUAUUUCUUCCAUUAUUGACUUAAACAUCGAAGAGGGAAAUCGUGAUUUUUUCACGAUUCUCCCUUCGUGUAGGUGAUCGUGGCCGAUCAAGGAGUGCUCGAUGAUGGCUUAAUCCAAGGAGAUUGGCUCACGACUCAAGGUUCGGAGCCCAUAGCACGUGAUUCAUUUACAUGGGCAUCUUGGAGAUCAUUAACCUCGUGAGAUUCCUCGUUCGACAAGCUUUCCAACGACAUAUUAUAUGCGCGACACCUAUAUCGCAUUGCGAAGCUAAGGUCAUUCGAAGUUUUGAAUCGGAUCAAACUUCAUGGGUUUGUUUGAGAUAAUAUGAACUGCAGAAGAAACUUUACAGAUCUGUGUACAACUCUCGGAAUGGCAUGUCCAAUUUAUUGCGGCCACCGAUCGCGACACGGAUCAUACCAACAACCUCUAUGCGAGCUCUUAACAAGUUUCUAGUGGAGAGUGUCAGCACCCCAUUUUGGCUCAUCAAUCCAAACAACAGUAUUAGCAGCAAUUCAGGCCACGACUCGAGCGGAAUACAGAAGAAGGUUCGACAGAGCAAGAAAUCACUAUUCAUCUUCGAGUCAACAAAAUUAAGCAGAUGACAUGUCCAUAUGACAGAAGGAUCCCCGGGGUCACCGAAAGGCAACAGAGCAACUAAAGAGCUCAACAAUAUCCAAAACCAGCAUUUUAAGCUUACCACAUGAACAAUCAUAUUUUUCGAUAGUUCGCUCGACCGUCGGAAGAUAGCCAAUAAUGAACUUCAAAAAUCCACAUUAGUGCCAAACAGAUGAAAAGUGUCUUCAAAAGUAUUUUGCAAAUCAUCUGCUCUACACAAAAUAACCUUUUGUAUACAGAUAACUUUUUAGUGGAAGUCCAAAAAUGCCGGUUUCCCGGAGAAAAGUCAA